rnacentral:lncRNA from 1 species
UUCCCCAGAGCAUAUGCUCCAUCAAUCCUCUCCUGUACCCUGACUUAACUCAUUCGAUUGUUGUACCACAUAUACCUAGAGCCAAUGAACCGCAAGUCUUGGAAUCCCUUAGAGGACAAAAUUUUUGAGCUCCCUAACUUCAAUCUUGUUAAAGGAGAAGGGUUUACCACCUCUUGUCAUUAGCCCCUCAAUACAAUUGAAAUCUCCAGCAAU